rnacentral:tRNA from 1 species
CCCUGGUGGCUCAGAUGGUAAAGAAUCUGCCUGCAAUGCAGGAGAUCCAGAUUCGAUCCCUGGACCAGGAA